UUAAGCUGCGAAUUAACUGAUUGCUGUGGUCUAAGUGUUGGCGUCCUUCCAAAGUUCAUAUGUUGAAACUUAACCCCCAACAUGAUAGUACUAAGAGGUGGGAAGAUUUGGGAGGGGAUUAGGUCAUGAGGGCUCCUCUCAUGAAUGGGAUUAGUGCCCUUAUAAAACAGGUUGAAGGGAGCUACCUUGCCUCUUUCACCAUGAGAAGACACAACAUUCAUCUCUUCCAUCACAGCUUGGUCUUGAACCUCCCAGCCUCCAGAACCGUGAGAAAUAAAUUUCUAUUAUUUCCAAAUUACCAAGUAAUUAUACAGGUUUUUGCUAUAGUAGCCCAAGUGGAUGAAGACAUUGAUCUACCUGUGAUUAUUGCUACUACAUCCUGCAAACUGUUGCCCACUGGGGGUUACUUUUUCAACUUAAGAGAACAUAGCUUCCUUAUACAUAAAAAUCUAUAAAACAUGCAAUUUAUUACCCUCUAAAAAUAUCCUUUUUCUCAAAACUGGGGUUGCUGAACGUUCAGGCUGCAUAUUCUCCCUAUAGUAGGCAUUGAGUAAAAUAAUUAUAACUUUAUCUCUGUAUUGUAUGUGGUUCUCAGGCAUCAGAAGAACAACUGUAAGUGCAGAAAUCCCAUGCGAGAAGUUAAUUUAGGAGCUAUUAAUAAUUUCUCAGAUAUGAUCUCAUGUAUUAACUCAGCACAACUCUAGUGUUAAAGUUAUCAAAGAGCAUAUAGGGGGACGAUGAACCAUUGGUUAAUGUUUUUAAAAAAAUCUUUAGUUCUGAGCUUUAUAUCAUGAUCUGUUUUGAGGAACAUCCUAAUGUCAAGGCCACGUUCAGUCCUCUGACAUCUUCCCUCCUUUGUCACCUUCUAGAGGAAGCCUUUCUUUCCCCCUUCUGCAGUUCUUUCUUCCUUUAAUAGCUGUCUUUGUUUUAAUAAGGAAACUGUCGGGGGCAGGGUGGAGAUAAGGAAAGGAAAAAUGAACUGAAGGAAUAAAGAAACUACAGGAAAAGAGAAAAUAAGAAAGAUUUUUCAGAAAUAUUUAUAUCUCUUAGAGUCCCUUAAAUACUAAAAAUUAGAAACUCGAGAUGGUAUGUGACAUUUGUACCCUGACACUUUGCCUGCUGUGAAGUGGUAAUGGUGCUCAGCUUUCCCACGGCAGCCCCAAGAGUCUGACUUUAGAGAAUUCCUCACAUAUUCUGCCAGGGCAGACACGUGACUAAUUUAUUUCUGUUCUAAAAGACCUCAGAGAAGAAGACUGGUCUAGAAUAUCUCUGAAAGUUAGAGCACAUUGCAACAGAGUGGAUAUUUAUUUUUAUUUUAUUUAAAAAAAUGAUUUAAAGAUACUACGAUGUCAAGAUGACAUCGUUAGGUGAUAUGGUCGUAAUAUGUUGGGACUAAUGUACUCAAAUGAGUGGGUCACUGAGUCAAGUCAUGGGUUCAUACUCAAGUUCAUCAUCUAAUUUUUAGCCCUUUAUUAUUUUUGAGUAAAAAUAGCAUUUAAAAAUACUGUUUUAAUAAAUACUGAAACAUACUCAUUAUAAAGACAGACUAGGUAAUAGAAAGUUUAAGUGAAAGUCUCCACCCCAUACUCACGUCUCUCAAUUCCUUACCCAGAGAAAUUUGCUGUUAAGUGUGAUGUAUAGCCUUUUAGCCAUUGUUUGUAUAUACAGUUGGUUGGAUGAGUUAAAGUACAAAUCCCUAGAAGUAGAAUUUUCCAAUCAAAGUUUUGUGCAUUUCAAAUGUUGAAAGAAAAUGCCAAUUGCAUACCAAGCCCUUUAAAUGGAUUUGAUCAACUCAUUUAAGCACAUGGCUGGAUGCAAGUGAAAACCCCAUCCGGCCACAUCUCUAGGACAGCAUUGGGCUAGCUCAAGUAUGGUAGACCAGGGGACAGUAGCACUCCACACCCCAAGGGCUUUGGAAAUUUGUAGGAGGAGAGGUAUUUUGUUGUCGCCAUGACUGGGAGGUUAAAAUAAGGGAUUGGGAGAUUAGGCUUGAUGCAGUGCACAGGGCGGUUCCACACAAUUAAACAUUGUCUUGUGUCCCACACAAUUUACAAAUAUUUUGGUGGGCAUUCAUAUUGGUGAAGAACCUGCUUAUUAUUCUGGGCCCAGAGCCUAACUACAUUUUACAUAUAAAUUCAAAGUUGGUUUUUGCUGUUGUUGUUGUUCAUGGUUUUAAUAUACAUUGACGUUUUUAGGAAUAUAACCACCAUGUAAAUUGAGAGUUAAAACAUUAUGGAAAAUUGCCUCACUGUGGCAUUUAAGCCAUAGACCAACAUAUCUUUAUCAGUCUAUAUUCACUACUAGGGCAUUUGCAGGGAUUCUAUGUAUAAUCUCUAUGCCUAAGCUUAUAUAUUUAGAGCAUUAUACUGACUUUUAAAAAAACGUGUGGAGUAAAUUAUAGUAUUUAUUUCACUUAAGGUACACUACAAAAUAUUUGUUAUAAAAGGAGCUGUGUCGGGCCGGGCACAGUGGCUCAUGCCUGUAAUCCCAGCACUUUGGGAGGCUGAGGCGGGUGGAUCACCUGAGGUCAGGGAUUUGAGACCAGUCUGGCCAAAGUGGGCGAAACCCCUUCUCUUCUAAAAAUAUAAAAAUUAGCCAGAUGUGCUGGCAUGAGCCUAUAAUCCCAGCUACUCGGGAGGCUGAGACAGGAGAAUCCCUUGAACCUGGCGGGCUGGAGGUUGCAGUGAGCUCAGAUCAUGCCAUUGCACUGCAGCAACAAGAGCAAAACUCCAUCUCAAAAAAAAAAAAAAAAAAAAAAGCUGCGUCUGACAAGGUUGAAACCCACUGCUCCAGAGAGCAGUCACAUUUCCUGGUUCAGAUGUGCUCUGCUGGCUCAUGUGGCCUCUGGUUCUCUGAUUCCGCUUGGCUGGCUCCUGAGGUGUUCACCUCCUUCUCCAUGCCCCAGAACCCAUAGGUUAAGAGUUACUCCAAGCUUACACCACAGUCUCAGAGAACAUGACCAAGACGGGUCCACUCUGCCUUGUGCACUCCAAAGGAACAGGCAACUUGUUGGCAGAAGAGUUCCUCUCAGUUCCUAGGAGAAAGCAAGUUGACCAACCUAGUGACCAUGAAGCACGCCUGAGAGGAGUGAAAACAAGAAGAUACUCGCUCCCUGCCUAUGCUAACUAGUGCUUUUUGCAGUUGUAGGUAUGGAAGGAGAGAGUGCAAGUGUAAGAGAUUAUUUAGUUGCAUUUCAGGAUAUUUCUUAGUCUCCCUCUUAUUCUCCUAAAAUGAUUUAUUACUGUUUUUUGACCUUUGUUUUACAUAACAUGAAAAUCCUUUCUCCAAAAUAUUGACUUCCUAUGGAAUUACAAGACUCUGAAAUUUUAAAAAGAAGAAAUCUGAAUCCAUCACUAAAAUGUCAGCCUCAUCCAGAAUGCAAGUUGUAUGAGUGUAGGGUUCUGCAUGUUCUGUUCAUCAUUCUAGUCCCAGCAUGUAGAACAGUACCUGAUCUGUUCUCAAUGAUAUUGAUUGAAUUAAUAAAUUCAGACAUUGUGUAAAG
rnacentral:lncRNA from 1 species